UGUCAGAUGCAUAUCCUCUCCUUCUCUUGUGUUUUCUUGCCAUAAUUGGACUGCAAAUUUUGUACUAGUUUCCUUUUUAUCUGAUGGGUUCUUUUCCCUGUUCCCCGGUUUCUUUUCUAAUUUUUCUCAGAAGUUGAAGUUUUUUUUUUUUUUUUUGAUGAGCAUAUCUAUUAUCCCGAUACCUUAAAAUUGUUUCCUUAUCUUUCCCUAUCUUUCUCUUUCUAUACAUAAACAACUUUCUUCAGUAUUUUAUAUCUCUCUUCUUUUGUCAUCUUCUACCAAAGUAUUCACUCAAUUUUCUUUCUUUUAAUUAUUUCCAAGUUACAGUUUCAGAUCAGGAUUGCUAAGCUUCUCUCUUUAAUUUUUGCUGUGGGUUUCCCUUUCUUUUGCAGGUUAUGCUAAGAAAAAGCAUGAAUUGAACAUCAAAAUGGUUCCCGUAUACUGCAGCGUCUUUUUUUUUUAGGGCUUUCAAAUCAAUAUGGCGACGUACUCUCAUGGGAGCUCAGAAUUCCAAGCUGCUUCAGUUGCUGCACCUGAUGGGAUGCAAACGCUCUAUCUCAUGAACCCCAACUAUAUACCCUACUCUGACACAAACCAACCAGUUGCUGCCACUAAUCUGUUAUUCUUGAACCCCGCCGGCAACGCGCUAAACCCUUCAAGCUUUCCCCACACGCCACCACCUAACUAUCACCACCUCCUUGGCCUCCCUCUUCCGACACCCACCGCUUCGAUCGUACCGGCCAAUUCCAAUGAAACCCACCGUCCAUCAUCCCUUCAUGGUAUAGUCUCCGGUGUUCACUAUAACUCAUGGGGAUCAAGUUCAACUAUUGAUCAUCAGACUUCAUCAGCAAGUACCUAUCCUCAGAUUGUGUCGACUGCGGUAGAUAACUCGGCCGCCAGGCCCCAUGAUGUUGCGUCGCAGUUGCGGCCGGUAGUGGUUUCACCAAGGCAAGGCUUGUCCUUGAGUCUAUCAUCCCAACAAGUUCCUUAUAGUUCAAGUAACGUUGAAGCAGAUCAUAUCCAAGGACAAGUUCCAACUAUGUCACCAGCAGCUGCUGAUGAAAUGAGGAUAUCUGGGAAUUCACCGUCAUCGGCUUCCGUUGUUUCGAAUGGGAUUCUAGGCGUUCAAAGUGUGGUUUUGGGAUCAAAGUACUUGAGAGCAGCACAAGAGCUUCUCGAUGAAGUUGUUAAUGUGGGGAAAGUGAUAAAGCCUGAGGUGUCUGAGGGGACCAAGGAGAAGAUAAAGGCGGACAAAGAACCGGUAGGUUCAAGUGCUGGUGAAGAUGGGGCUCAACGUGGACCUGAGCUCACCACCGCACAAAGACAGGAGCUUCAAAUGAAGAAGGCAAAACUUGUCAGCAUGCUCGAUGAGGUGGAACGAAGAUACAGGCAAUACCGUCAACAAAUGCAAAUUGUUGUUUCAUCUCUAGAGAAGGCAGCGGGGUUUGGUGCAGCAAAAUCGUACACCGGAAUUGCUUCGAGGACGAUUUCGAAGCAAUUCCGUUGUCUAAAAGAUUCAAUAUCUGAACAAAUCAAAGCUACAAGCAAGAUUUUAGGAGAAGAUGAUUGUUUAGGUGUGAAAUUGGAGGGUUCAAGACUACGAUACGUUGAUUAUCAGCUACGGCAACAGCGGGCACUGCAGCAAUUGGGAAUGAUCCAACACAAUAAUAAUGUUUGGAGACCCCAGCGAGGAUUACCUGAACGAGCUGUUUCUGUUCUACGUGCUUGGCUUUUCGAGCAUUUCCUUCAUCCCUAUCCUAAAGAUUCAGACAAACACAUGCUCGCCAAACAAACUGGGCUUACAAGAAAUCAGGUGUCAAACUGGUUUAUAAAUGCUCGAGUCCGCCUGUGGAAGCCAAUGGUUGAAGAGAUGUAUUUGGAGGAAAUGAAGGAACAUGAAAUGAAGGGUGGUGAAGAAAAUACAAACAAAAGUGAGCAAAAGGAGUCAGGGUCUACCAGCUCCAAAUCCAAUGCCCAGCAGCAAGAGAUGAAUGCUUCCCCUACUCAUCAAUUUUCCAACUCCACUAUCUCCACAUCUCCCAUGGAAGGGUCCCUUAUGCCGCCGCAAACAUCCUUCAAUCUCAUCGGAUCAUCUGAAUUUGACAAUGGCGUGGGCCUGGCUCAAAGAGCUUCAAAAAAGUCAAGGAAUGCUAAUGAUGAGUUGCAGAAUUCUCCCAUGGAGAUGAAGCCGGGUGAAACGUGGGAAACCAACAUCAACAUGAUCAAGCUCGGCGAUGAAGAAAGGCUACUCAAACACAGUUUUUCAUACUUGAGUGGAACAGCUUACUCUAGUAUGGGAGAGAUUGGGAGGUUUAAUGAAGAACAGCAACUGCCACCAAAAUUCCAUGGAAACAGUGUUUCCCUCACCCUCGGACUUCCUCAUUGCGAGAAUCUCUCUCUAUCGGGAAACCCACAAAACUUCCUAUCGAACCACAACAUUCAACUUGGGAUCAACACCCCGCAUGCUUCCCAUUCAAACGCCGCCGGCUUUGACAACAUUCAUGAGAUGCAAAACAGGCAAAGGUUUGCUGCACAGUUGUUGCCAGAUUUUGUUGCCUGACUGAAAUCCAAUUUCACAUUGCACAUUGAUGCACUCAUGGCAUGGGCUGGUGUUUUCAAGGUAAUCAGAGAAGUUUCAGCGGUGGUGAGCCAUCAAGAUGAGUCCUGCAAUAGAUCAGGUGAUGGUUUUCAGGCUUGAGGAGGAAGAACUAGGCAUCGUAGUAGAUUCAAUUAUUUUAAUUGACCACAAUGUCAACUUUUUAGAAAAGUUAGUCACCUUACACAACGUUGUUUCUAUAGAUUUGAUUAAAAUUUUGAGGGUUUUGCAGUUCUACCUUUUCAAUUA